rnacentral:tRNA from 1 species
GCGGGAGUAACUCAGUUUGGUAGAGUUCCAGCCUUCCAAGCUGGGUGUCGCGGGUUCGAGUCCCGUCUCCCGCU